rnacentral:tRNA from 1 species
CAACGUGUAGCGCAAUCUGGUAGCUCGUCUGCCUUCGGCGCAGAAAAUUACAGGUUCAAAUCCGGUCACCUUGA